GUGGCGUAGGUCCGAGGACCUGUGGACCCAUGAAUAUGGAUUGCGAUUAGAGGAUGGACGUAGCACAUCAGGUGGCAUUACUGGCACCACAAUUCCGUCCCAGCGUUGAACUGUAAGCACAAACGGAGAUACAAGCUCAAGUGAAAUUACUUCAGCACUUGACUACUUUCUGAUGAGAUAGAUGUCUGUAAAAAAAUUAUAUCAAUGUAAUGAACAGUUUAAAUUAAUAUCAGAAAUAUAGUGUCAUAUUCUCCAAACUAGGUUUCCUUGGGAAGUCUCGUUUAGAGCUGCUCGGUUGGCAACUUAUGAAGGAAUAUAACAGAUACGGGGCUCAGAUCAGGUGGACUUGAAGCAGACCUUUAAACGAAGUCCUUGGCCUUGGAGCACCUACAGAUUGCACUGAAUGGUCUCGCUAUCCUCAAAAUGUCCACAUUAGAAUUCAGCUGCCCCGCUGAACUGAAGUAACGUCGCUGUGCCCGGAAUAUUCCCGGCCAAGUAAAUGCCCGGGCCGCACCAACCCCAAAUUCCUCUGACUUAGCACUUAACUCCGCCCUUCGGAGUCUGCGCAUUGCGUACUCCCAAGUCCGCUAACUCUUCCCUAGUCCACCAACAAAUUCUGCGUUAAUUAAUUAGAAAAAAUCACAGUUUAAGGCGUGAAAAAAUCGGAGAUGGCCCGUUGUAGGACGACGAAGGCGUUGAAAUUUCAACGCCUUUCGCGAAACUUUUGAAGAACCUUAAUCCCAAGUUGGGAUUAACAUCUGCUUCGAGGGGGAAAACAAGGUAGCAGACAUGCAACGGUUAUUAGGUAGUAUGAUAAAAUCUAUAAAAAAUUAUAUGUACAUUAGUUAUUACUUUAGUUAAAUGCAUAUCUAGUGGGCUUCUGUUUUUGCUGUCGCUCUCGAUUUGAAAAAGCAUCACACCAAGCAAACAAGUUAAAGUUGCCUUCAAAUUUUCGUAGAAAAAUUUUUAGUUAAACAUAAAUUGAAAUUAGUUUUUUUUUUUUUUUUUUUUUUGAAU
ensembl:ncRNA lncRNA:CR44470 long non-coding RNA:CR44470